UGCCAUGAGUUUUAGGAGCAAACUCCUCAGGUGUUGGGUCUAUAAUGACAUACAAGAUCCACUCGUGCUCCAGGAUGAUUUUUAAUUUUCGAUACCAGUUAUCAAAAUUAGGUCCCGUCAACUUCUCACCAUCCAAUAGUAAUCGAAGCGACAAGUUUGAGACCAUAUCUGUACAAAAAAAAAAUCAAAACCUAAUCAGUAUAUGAAUUAAUUAAGCCUAAAGAUAUGGACUUUAGUUUAAAGAUUCUUCCACUAUUUUAUAGAAAUUGGUAGCCUC
rnacentral:lncRNA from 1 species